UACAGAAGGGUCUCAAGUCGUUGAUUCGGAUCAUUGGGCGUAAAGGGGCGCGUAGGCGGUUUGUACAGUCAGGUGUGAAAUUCCCGGGCUCAACCUGGGGGCUGCACUUGAUACGUAUGGACUUGAGUGGGGAAGAGGGUCGUGGAAUUCCCAGUGUAGAGGUGAAAAUUCGUAGAUAUUGGGAGGAACACCAAUUGCGAAGGCAGCUUGCUACACUACUAUUGACACUGAGGCACGAAAGCGUGGGGAUCAAACAGG
rnacentral:rRNA from 1 species